rnacentral:rRNA from 1 species
UUGGAGGGCAAGUCUGGUGCCAGCAGCCGCGGUAAUUCCAGCUCCAAUAGCGUAUAUUAAAGUUGUUGCAGUUAAAAAGCUCGUAGUUGAAUUUCGGGAUCGACGGGUCGGUCGCGCCUCUGGUGUGUACUGGCCCUGUCGGUUUCUCCCUUCUGACGAACCACGAUGUCAUUAAUUUGGUGUCGUGGGAAAUCAGGACUGUUACUUUGAAAAAAUUAGAGUGUUUAAAGCAGGCAUUCGCUUGAAUACAUUGGCAUGGAAUAAUGAAAUAGGACGUUUGAUCUUAUUUUGUUGGUUUCUAAGAUCGACGUAAUGAUUAAUAGGGAUAGUUGGGGGCAUUAGUAUUCAAUUGUCAGAGGUGAAAUUCUUGGAUUUAUUGAAGACUAACUACUGCGAAAGCAUUUGCCAAGGAUGUUUUCAUUAAUCAAGAACGAAAGUUAGGGGAUCGAAGACGAUCAGAUACCGUCGUAGUCUUAACCAUAAACUAUGCCGACUAGGGAUCGGAUGAUGUUAAUUUUUUAAUGACUCAUUCGGCGCCUUACGGGAAAC